rnacentral:rRNA from 1 species
GACAGAGGGGGCAAGCGUUGCUCGGAAUUACUGGGCGUAAAGGGCGCGUAGGCGGGAUGGCAAGUCGGUCGUGAAAUCCCUCGGCUCAACCGAGGAACGUCGAUCGAUACUGCUGUUCUUGAGGAUUGCAGAGGAGACUGGAAUUCCCGGUGUAGCGGUGAAAUGUGUAGAGAUCGGGAGGAACACCGGUGGCGAAGGCGGGUCUCUGGGCAACAACUGACGCUGAGGAGCGAAAGCGUGGGGAGCGAACAGG